GCACCUGUGGUCUAGUGGUUAUGAUUUCUCGCUUACACCGAGAAGGUCCCUGGUUCGAACCCAGGCAGGUGCA